rnacentral:rRNA from 1 species
AAUCAACGCUGGCGGCGCGCUUAACACAUGCAAGUCGAACGAGAAAGGGGAGCAAUCCCUGAGUACAGUGGCGCACGGGUGAGUAACACGUGGGUAAUCUACCCUUGGGUGGGGAAUAACCCUGGGAAACCGGGGCUAAUACCGCAUAAGCCUGGAAAGGGAAAGGCGAAAGUCGCCGAAGGAGGAGCCCGCGGCCGAUUAGCUAGUUGGUAGGGUAAAGGCCUACCAAGGCUUCGAUCGGUAGCCGGCCUGAGAGGGCACACGGCCACACUGGCACUGAAACACGGGCCAGACUCCUACGGGAGGCAGCAGUGGGGAAUCUUGCACAAUGGGGGCAACCCUGAUGCAGCGACGCCGCGUGAGCGAUGAAGCCCUUCGGGGUGUAAAGCUCUUUCGACCGGAACGAUGAUGACGGUACCGGGAGAAGAAGCUGCGGCUAACUACGUGCCAGCAGCCGCGGUAAUACGUAGGCAGCGAGCGUUGUUCGGAGUUACUGGGCGUAAAGCGUGCGUAGGCGGUUUUCU